GGGACCCCAAUAAUGCUAUAAGCAGAGGUUAUUUGAUGUCAAUUCCAGACAGGACGACGACAGCACUGUCCAGACUGAGUAUCAAAGGAUUAAUCAUUUGGAUUUACUCUGAGCCAAAGACAAUCCAUACAGCAUAACACUCAUUCCACAAUGCUGCUUAAAUUCAUGAGGUCUGGGAAAACAUGUUUUAUGGGCAGCACAGGACUGGGAUAUACUAUACAGGGUCUUCCACCCCUGCUUUUUGACCGGCGGAUGUGUCAUCUGAGGCCAUCCUAGAAUCACAAAUAGCAAAACAAAACGCAUUUUGAUGUAACAAACAACAAUGCACCACCAGCACAGCCUUUUUUGGAAUCUGCUGUAAUCAGGCCCCCGUGAGCUGUGGGACUGCAGUGAAAGUUUGGUUAGGGGGAUUCUCCUAGGAUCAGCCCACCACAACCAUGCAAAGAUUGCUGUGCAAGUUUUAUUUCGAGUGCUGCUGAGGAUUUGUGGGAACAAAGGAAAUUUAUUCUGGGAGAACCUCAUUGACAAUAUCCAACAAGAAAAUCCCUAGCAUGACCACGACUGACAGAUCCUUCUCACUGAAACUGAUUAAAAGUAAGCAAUGAGCAAUAUAAUAAUGAAGAAAUGCUGAAGCUUAUUUCUUCAGAAAUAUUGUGUCCGGCUGAUGUGUCUCGGUUCCCAUAUUAGGGCAGAUGCGAAUGUGUGUGUAUAAAAAUAGUUCAAGGCAUUCUCCACAGCCCAUCGCUUCAAAUCCCUCCGGAGAGCUUUUUAAUUUACAGAGCUGAGGGAAGCGUCUGUCUUCAGUUGAUAGGUGUGUAUCUGCUUGUGUGCGAGUGUUCCUGAAACCCUUGCUAUUAACUCACCAAUAGGUAGAUAUUCUGCAUGUUCAUCGCAUAUCACAGCUUCUUCUAUUUCCAAUUUCAGCUGGGAUAGAAGAAUUAAUUUCUAGUACCACUACAAGAUGAAACAGCAGGGAAAAACAAUGCCAGA
ensembl:lncRNA